UGAAUAACAAAUAAUAAUAGUAAACAUGUUUGGGCUUCCUAUUCCCAAUUCUGAAAUGCAGACUGUCAUCAACAGACAGUAAAGUAACGGGUUCCUCAAGAUUAUAUCAAGCCAAAGUUUUAAGUUUCCUCGAGAUCAAGAACUAUUGGCCUGCAGUUUUUUUAAUGUUAUGUGACGGACAACAUGAGAUUCUCCUCCUCUAACAGCAGUCAUUGUUGGAAGUUCUGUGUUGUGUCAACUCUUCACAUAGUUGAAUUUGAUCAUCCCGACAAGGAGCCUAAUUUGAUCAUUUCUGAUCUAGGGUACACAGAUUUUCCCUUAAAUCAAAUAAGGUUUUUCUGCAGACGAUACCGUGUAGUGGCGUGGGUGUGGGUAUCGCUGAUGCUGGGUGACGUCAAGAUGAACGCUUAGCAGCCUAGUGUCAUUGAGAAUUUUACAGGGUGGCAAAGUUUGUUGGUUUUAAGAAGUAUUGUUGAGCCUGCUUGUUGUUCGAGUUGUGGGGUUUGUUACUUAGAGUUCAACCUGCACCCGGGCCGGCCAGUUUGCAUGUCCUUCACGCUUGAAGGUCGCGGGGAACAGCACGUGUAAAACUGUCAAUGUGGUGGUGUAGAGGUUGGGUGAGAACUGGUCGU
rnacentral:lncRNA from 1 species